CUGUGUUAGGGAUUGAAAUGGCAUCCUUUUUAUCAGUAUAUUAAUACCCAAUACCUAUAUUAUUACCUGAAUUUUAGUGAAAAAAUAAUACCUUUUAUAUUUAGCAUAAAAAGAUAUAAUGCAAAGCCCGACCUUUU
rfam:Polaribacter sp. KT25b genome assembly, chromosome: I